GGCAAGAUGGCCGAGUGGUUAAGGCGACGCAGUACUUUUGCCCUUUCCCACCGUAAAAUUGCAGGAAACUAACUAGUGUGCAGCUCAAGAAAUCUUGAAAGACUUUCUUACCCUUGUACUAGGGCAUAAUUGCGUUCUCGAAAGAGGCGUGGGUUCGAGUCCCACUCUUGUCA
rnacentral:tRNA from 1 species